UUAGCAUAAUACUAGGUAUAACAUUAUUUUUUUUCGAAUUUUCCCCAUAAGUAGAAAUUAAUACACUGUAUUGUGUUUGUAGGUUAUCUAUAUACAUAUAUAUAAAUGUAAAAUUGUAAAAUCUCAAAAACUACGCGGUUGAUCGUAAAAUAAUCCGUAUUGCCCGGAGAAAGUUUAUAGCUAUUGAAAUCCAUCCUCCGAAAUUCGGUUUUUAGGUAUUAUUAAUUUUUUAUUAAAAUGAAUUACCUUAGAAACACGGAUGAGAUGAAAACAAAUUUAAAAGUUUGGUCAAAACGUAUCUAUGGUAUCUAUGAUAAUAAAUAUAAAUAAACAUAAUUAUAAAGAUCUAUGAAUCAUAUUAUGCAAUAAAGUGUAAUGUUAUAAAAUAAACUGUCUUUACGUAACUAUGUGGUUAUGUAAUUAUUU